ensembl:lncRNA
GACACGCCGGCAGCAGCGGAGCAGAGCGGCUACUCGCCCUCUGACGCCCCACCUCCUCUCCGCUCUCCUCGGAGGGGCGGCCUGCCUCCCGCCAGCCCCCGCAGGGGACACUUCAUCCGCCUGUGGACUCAGUUUAUCAGCUCUGAAGAUGUAGCAGUACCUCACUGAUACGCGGUCUCACUAGGCGAUGGCGAGGUCUCUGGAUACACGGGGUAGCUCAAAGAAGCUGGGUCACUUUCACUUGAGUUCUUCACUUUUUGCAGCUGCAUGAAUUGGAGCAUCAACAGGUCACUUCAGACCAGGUCAAAAGAGUUUGUAUGUCAUCAAAGAUGGUCAGCCAAGGUUUUUACAGCUGUUACAGCUGUUACCAGACCCUGAAAGUUACAGUACUUGUCGUGUGACUUUGCAAAAUAUACUCCCUGUGAAGUACCUGGAAGGCCAAGGACAAAUCAGACAUCCUAACUGUUGUAUAAACACGUUCGUCUUAGUCUCAGAUGUCCUGAGGAAAGAAGAGGAAGCAAAUGCCAAAGACUGCAUUGCAGAGGGCAGUUAUAUUUUGUGAUAUAAGUGGGCAACAAGCUCUGUUCCUUGGAGAGGCUGCAGCAUCAUCUAGCGGAAACUGGCCAAAACUAUUCUUGUCAUGGUUGUAUAAUCCAGCUAACAAACAUCAAUUCGUGCCCCCACCAGUUCUUGCAUGGAGCAGAAAAUAUUAUCCCCUUUCCUCCAUUGAGGAGAGGUUACCUAGGAAGAGCAGCAGGACUAAGAACUUGGUCCAGCCAAGCCAGACACAGCCUGGUGUGGUAGCUGCUAAAUGAGCUGAGUGUCUCCACUAAGACUGGUCCUCUCCUUCUGCAGCAUUGUUCCCAAAUUAAGUCCUCAAAGGCAGCAGUGAAGAAAACCAUGCCUGUGCACUUACAAACACUGCAGCUCUCUAUCUCCGUGCCAAUGAGUGGAAAGUGUUCUACGUGUGCUGAAGGAGGGACAUACAUGACUUUAUCUUUUGCUCACUUUCAUGCCCUCUUGCAAAGAGCCACUUCAGUCCUAGCUGGAGAGCAUCCAAAGACCAUCAAUGCCAAGAAGAAACGAGUGUGCACUGUUGUGUAGAAGCAUGCAUCUUUGGUCCUGCUCACAACUCAGCAGCGACUGUACAAAGCUAUGACAAACUGCAUCCUGGAAACCAGCAUUUUGGCAGCUGCUUUCCAUAGAGAGAACUCUGAACUGUGUAGAAAGGAGGGUCAUGUUUCAGGGAUUUUGCUCUUUAAGCUAGAAGGUCGGAGAACUGUAACUUCUAUUCCUAGUGUGUAGCAAUAAAGUUACUGUUACAGUAAUAGAGUGAGUCUAGUCUUCCCAAUAAACCUGAGCAGCGUUGCACAACUGCUGUGUGAGAGCGACACAGGCUCUCCUGGUUGGGAUUUCAG